rnacentral:rRNA from 1 species
AUUGAACGCUGGCGGCAGGCCUAACACAUGCAAGUCGAACGCGUGGCAGGCGUGUGAGUAGUGUCUGGAACCCUGCCUGAUGGAGGGGGAAAAAUUCUGGAAAGGGUAUAUUAUCGCGCAUUCCCUCCUAUGUGCCCAGAUGGGAUUCGAUUGUUUGUGGGUGAAUGGCUCACCAGGGCGACGAUCCCUAGCUGGUCUGAGAGGAUGACCAGCCACACUGGAACUGAGACACGGCCCAGACUCCUACGGGAGGCAGCAGUGGGGAAUAUUGCACAAUGGGCGCAAGCCUGAUGCAGCCAUGCCGCGUGUAUGAAGAAGGCCUUCGGGUUGUAAAGUACUUUCAGUGGGGAGGCGUUACCGGCAGAAGAAGCACCGGCUAACUCCGUGCCAGCAGCCGCGGUAAUUC